UACAGAGGAGCCAAGCGUUGUCCGGAUUGACUGGGCGUAAAGCGCACGCAGGCGGUCGCGCGCGUGGGGUGUGAAAUCUGGCCGCUUAACGGCCAGGCGCCAUCCCAUACGGCGCGACUCGAGCCAUGCAGAGGGCGGUGGAAUUGCCGGUGUAGUGGUGAAAUGCGUAGAGAUGUGGAGGAACACCGAUGGCGAAGGCAGCCCCCUGGGUCAACACUGACGCUCAUGCACGAAAGCGUGGGGAGCAAACAGG
rnacentral:rRNA from 1 species